rnacentral:rRNA from 1 species
AGCAACGCCGCGUGAGGGAUGACGGCCUUCGGGUUGUAAACCUCUUUUAGCAGGGAAGAAGCGAAAGUGACGGUACCUGCAGAAAAAGCACCGGCUAACUACGUGCCAGCAGCCGCGGUAAUACGUAGGGUGCAAGCGUUAUCCGGAAUUAUUGGGCGUAAAGAGCUCGUAGGCGGUUUGUCGCGUCUGCUGUGAAAUCCCGAGGCUCAACCUCGGGCCUGCAGUGGGUACGGGCAGACUAGAGUGCGGUAGGGGAGAUUGGAAUUCCUGGUGUAGCGGUGGAAUGCGCAGAUAUCAGGAGGAACACCGAUGGCGAAGGCAGAUCUCUGGGCCGUAACUGACGCUGAGGAGCGAAAGGGUGGGGAGCAAACAGGCUUAGAUACCCUGGUAGUCCACCCCGUAAACGUUGGGAACUAGUUGUGGGGUCCUUUCCACGGAUUCCGUGACGCAGCUAACGCAUUAAGUUCCCCGCCUGGGGAGUACGGCCGCAAGGCUAAAACUCAAAGGAAUUGACGGGGACCCGCACAAGCGGCGGAGCAUGCGGAUUAAUUCGAUGCAACGCGAAGAACCUUACCAAGGCUUGACAUACACGAGAACGGGCCAGAAAUGGUCAACUCUUUGGACACUCGUGAACAGGUGGUGCAUGGUUGUCGUCAGCUCGUGUCGUGAGAUGUUGGGUUAAGUCCCGCAACGAGCGCAACCCUCGUUCUAUGUUGCCAGCACGUAAUGGUGGGAACUCAUGGGAUACUGCCGGGGUCAACUCGGAGGAAGGUGGGGAUGACGUCAAAUCAUCAUGCCCCUUAUGUCUUGGGCUUCACGCAUGCUACAAUGGCCGGUACAAAGGGCUGCAAUACCGUGAGGUGGAGCGAAUCCCAAAAAGCCGGUCCCAGUUCGGAUUGAGGUCUGCAACUCGACCUCAUGAAGUCGGAGUCGCUAGUAAUCGCAGAUCAGCAACGCUGCGGUGAAUACGUUCCCGGGUCUUGUACACACCGCCCGUCAAGUCAUGAAAGUCGGUAACACCUGAAGCCGGUGGCCUAACCCUU